GGGUCAGUAGGUUGGUCGUGCCACCGGUACGUACUGGUCUCACUGAUUCCUCCUUCCUGAAGAACCGUAAUGCCAUUAAUUUGGUGUUGCGGGGAAACAGGACUGUUACUUUAAAAAAAUUAGAGUGUUUAAAGCAAGCUAACGCUUGGAUACAUUAGCAUGGAAUAAUGAAAUAGGACGAUCGAUCCUAUUUUGUUGGUUUCUAGGAUUGACGUA
rnacentral:rRNA from 1 species